rnacentral:rRNA from 1 species
UACGUAGGGCGCAAGCGUUAUCCGGAAUUAUUGGGCGUAAAGAGCUCGUAGGCGGUUUUGUCGCGUCUGCCGUGAAAGUCCGGGGCUCAACUCCGGAUCUGCGGUGGGUACGGGCAGACUAGAGUGAUGUAGGGGAGACUGGAAUUCCUGGUGUAGCGGUGAAAUGCGCAGAUAUCAGGAGGAACACCGAUGGCGAAGGCAGGUCUCUGGGCAUUAACUGACGCUGAGGAGCGAAAAGCAUGGGGGAGCGAACAGG